rnacentral:piRNA from 9 species
UCUGGACUCUGAAUCCAGCGAUCCGAGUU